rnacentral:rRNA from 1 species
CUUGCCGAUGACCAUCGGAAGGCCAAAGUUUUAGCAGAUGGACUGAAGAAAAUCCAACAGUUCACAUUUGAUUUGACUUCAGUGGAGACCAAUAUGUAGCAGGGGAGAUUUGCGUUUUUGGCAAAGAGGAGGGAAGGAACUAACAUGAUGGCUUAGAUCAGUUACUGAUGAACUAACAUGAUGUAUGGAUGCAGAUUAUUAAUGAUGUUGUUUUUGGCUUUUUGCAGUGAACAAUCGAUGCAGGGUAGAACUGCUUAAUGAUACACACGAGUCUGAUUUUCAGGUGGCCAAAUACACACGAGUCUAAACAAGACAUGGGUCUGCUUUCCUCUUAAGCAGAUAUGAUCAUCAAGCUAUUUCCAGCGACAGCAGUGGAGCCUGGGGAGAGGAGAUGAACUUGUGCUUGGGGUGAGGACAGCCUGGGAUGAGGAGAGCCUGGGCAGCAGCCGAGCCCAGCUCCAGC